rnacentral:tRNA from 1 species
GGAAGCGCGAGGCUAGCUGGCGCGGCUCCCGGUCUUCAAAACCGGUGUAAGGCGUCGCACGACGUCUUAGGUGGGUUCGAUUCCCAUGCGCUUCCG